rnacentral:lncRNA from 1 species
AUAUAAAACAGCAAUAUCUGGCACAAAAUAAAUUCUAAUAAUUAUCAUGUAUUAAAAUACAAUAGAUGAGUUGGACCAAGAUGGCGGCUGCCGAGGGCCCUGUAAGCGACAAUGAUCUGUGGCAGACCUGGCUUCCCAAUCACGUCGUGUUUUUGCGGCUCCGGAAAGGACUGAAACACCAGCGUCCUGAAGAAGCUGAGAAACCAGCUUCCUCAUCAUUGGCCUCCUCGUCGCCUCCUCUGCCUCCACAGUUGCUGCCGAGAAACCUAGUCUUCGGCCUCUGUGAAGAGAGAAGGAGCUGAUUUCUUCAAAGCCUUCACAGGAGUUAAAGGACAAGGAGCAUCACUUCAGAAUCUAGCAGAAAGCAUAAUGUCAUGGAAGACAGAGCCAACACUCAUAAGCCUGGCACCUUGUAAGAGGACUGGGAGAGGUACAAGCAUCAGGAACAUGGAUAGUGGUAUUCAAAUUUGAAGGCCUUUCAACACUGGCUACUGGGAGACUUGCUCAUACAGGCUGCCACAUACAGAUAUGACAAAGAUGAGAUAGAGGAGAUGAAGGAGAGGGAAAUUAAAAGAAAAAAUAGACUCAUAGCCCCUCAGCACAUGCUCAUAUAGAGUUUGUAAGCAGUAGCAGAUAUGACUUGGAAAGUGCCGCAAAAGAUUGGAAGCUUUUAAAAGAAAUUACCUUUCUUUCGGAAAGGUACUGAACAUUUGUAAGUUUUCUCUUGGCUUCACUAUUCUAGGACAUCUACAAAUAUCAUAGUUUUUACUUCACAAAGCAUCCUGCAAAUGGGAAAGAAAAUUUUUACAGUCUGGCAGAAGGAGAUGGCAAGAAGAUUCUCUUGCUGAUGGUUU